UACGGAGGGUGCAAGCGUUAAUCGGAAUUACUGGGCGUAAAGCGCGCGUAGGCGGGUUGGUAAGUCCGCUGUGAAAGCCCGGAGCUCAACUCCGGAGGGUCGGUGGAUACUGCCAGUCUUGAAGGUGCUAGGGGGAGAUGGAAUUACCGGUGUAGCGGUGAAAUGCGUAGAGAUCCGGAGGAACACCAGUGGCGCAGGCGGCUCUCUGGGUCGGCCCUGACGCUGAGGCGCGAAAGCGUGGGUAGCAAACAGG
rnacentral:rRNA from 1 species